rnacentral:rRNA from 1 species
UACAGAGGGUGCAAGCGUUAAUCGGAAUUACUGGGCGUAAAGCGUGCGUAGACGGUUAUGUAAGUCAGAUGUGAAAGCCCCGGGCUCAACCUGGGAAUUGCAUUUGAGACUGCAUAGCUAGGAUGCGGAAGAGGGAAGUGGAAUUUCCGGUGUAGCGGUGAAAUGCGUAGAUAUCGGAAGGAACAUCAGUGGCGAAAGCGACUUCCUGGUCCAGCAUCGACGUUCAGGCACGAAAGCGUGGGGAGCAAACAGG